rnacentral:lncRNA from 9 species
GAUGUCAGGGGCUGGGCUGCCGCACGAGUGGCCUGCCGGGUGCGGGGGAAAAUGUUCGAGCGCGAGCCCCCGCGGGGCCACUGGGGAGACGGAGGGCAGAAACGGGGGCCGUUGGAGCCAGCCUAAGCUUGGGUGUAAGCUCUGUCACUCAGAGCUCGGGACUAGGCGCUUUUGGGUGCAAAACGAGUGGCCCACACAACUCCCUGGCUAGAAGAGGCCCGAGUCUGGGAGGGGAGAGAUUUGGAGAAACCGAAUCUCAACUCCAUGAAGUCAGUGACGUGUCUCUUCUCUGCUGUACUCCGGGUGCCUGAAAUGUGCCUGGCAGGAAACUUUCAUUUUGGCCACAUAUGUACCUGUGUGCAGGCAUGUGUGCUUCUGUGAGCAUGCCCUGGAUCUCAAUGCCAAGGUCAACAGAAAGAAAGCAGAGAGUGAGUCACCAGCUAGCAGGAUGGAGCGUUGGAGAGUGGCCUAACAUGGGUAUUGGGAAGCUGAAGGCUGACCUGAGAGCUCCUCCUAGCAUGAGGCUCAUCUGUCAUCAUAAGCACAUGUGGGGGUCUCCUUCACUGGAUUGAGGACAUGUCCUGAGUGCAGCCAUCCCUGCCAGCAUGGGGAAGUCCCCUGGCCUGAGCCACAGCAGUGAUAACUCCGGAUCCUUAACCCGCUGUACCCCAAGAGAGCUCCGAGCAUCUCUAUUGUGGACGUGAGGAAUGGAUUUAUGGGAACCAGGGAAGGUUUCCCACUCGGCUGUAUUAACUACAGGAGGAUCGACCUUCAUGUGAGCACAGCCUGUCCCACCAAACUGGCAAGGGCACAGGUGCCUACUCCAGGAAGCUAAAGAUGGUGGUUUGAGAGCACAGACCCUGGGCUCAGACUGCCCCUCAUGGAUCAAAGCUCUGAUUUUCAUCAGCUGCAUAACCCCUUGGAACCUUCUGUGGCCUCUCUGAGCCUCGUGUCUUCAUCUGGAAAGGAGUCAGCUGCAAUGAUACCUGUCUUUGGGACUGCUGUGAGUACCGAUUUGGGGGAUCCUUGCAAAGCUUUUUCCACGGUACAGUCACCUAGCAGGUGCUUGUAAAUGUCAGCAAUUAUUAAAAUGUCUGGGGAGUCCGUUCAGACCUCAAAGAGCAUCUCCGAAUAGAGGUGCUGGAGCCACUCCAGCAGGACGAGCAGGAUUAUAUGCGCAUAACCCUCAAGGGAUCCUGGGGAACAGUGCUCUGUGCUGAUGGGUGUGCUUCUCUCAUCCCCACCCCUAGAUUUAAGUCACCUGAGGGAGAACCUGGGAUUCUCAUGUGGGGAGACGGUGGACGCCAGAUGGGGAGACUGCCACCUGCCUCUCUGCGCUGCUUCGGGAGCAGAGCAGACAGGGGUGGGGCAACUAAGGGGAAACUGGAAGUGAAGUGGAGCAAAGCCUGAAGCUGGGCCAGCUGCCUGUCCACCAGCUGCUGGGCAAGGCUGUGUGUUCCCCACCGGCCCAGGGGACUCGAGAAGACAGCUGGGCUGGAACCGUCUUGGAAGCACCCCAGCUAAGAGGACCGAUUGCCAGGCAAAGAGAGCCCAGGGAAAAGAGCUACAGGAGCUGAAAGUCCUGCUGGGGUGCAGGCUGACGGGCUGACAGCAAAGUGCAUGGUCCCCAUCAGUGAAGGGUGGAAUUGUAGGAGUUUCUUAUCUCUGUUGAAUAUUAACCCCAUAUGAGAUAGAGUACGCACACAUUUCCUCCGGUUUUGUAAGUUGCCUUUUCACUCUGUCAGUUGUUCUCUUCACUGUGUAGAAGCGUUUUCAUUUGAUGCCAUCCACUGAUCGCCUUUCGCUUUUGUUGCCUGUGCUUUUGUUGUCAUAUCCAAAAAAAAAAAAAAUCACUGCCAAGAUCCAACGUCAAGAAGCUUUCUCCUGAUGUUUUCUUCUAGUAGUGGUAUGGUUGCAGCUCUUAACAUUGAAGUCGUGGAUCCAUUUUGAGUUGAUUUUUGUAUUAUCCAGAAAUCCCAUUUCUGGGUAUAUAGCCACAGGGAGUGAGAUCUGGAUCUUGAAGAGAUAUCUGUACCCUCUUGUUCACUGCUGCAUUAUUUACAGCAGCCAAGAUUUGGAAGCAACCUAAAUUUAUGAUGAAUGGAUAAAGAAAAUGUGACAUCCAAACACACACACACACAGUUGACUCUUGAACAAUGCAGGAGCUGGGGCGCUGACCCUCCAUGCCGUCAAAAGCAUAUAGGAGUUCCCUUUGUGACUCAGUGGUAACUAACCCCAUUGGUAUCCAUGUGGACGCAGGUUUGAUCCCUGGCCUCGCUCAGUGGGUUAAGGAUUCAGCUUUGUCAUGAACCGUGGUGUAGGUUAUAGUGCGGCUUGGAUCUGGCGUUGCUGUGACUGUGGUGUAGGCUGGCAGCUAUAGCUCUGAUUCAGCCCCUAGCCUGGGAACCUCCAUAUGCUGUGGGUGGCCAAAAAAAAA